CGAACGCUGGCGGCGUGCUUAACACAUGCAAAUCGAACGGAAAGGCCCCUUUGGGGGUACUCGAGUGGCGAACGGGUGAGUAACACGUGAGUAACCUGCCCUUGACUUCGGGAUAACUUCAGGAAACUGGGGCUAAUACCGGAUAGGAAUCCUUGCUGCAUGGUGGGGGUUGGAAAGCUUCGGCGGUUUUGGAUGGACUCGCGGCUUAUCAGCUUGUUGGUGGGGUAGUGGCUUACCAAGGCUUUGACGGGUAGCCGGCCUGAGAGGGCGACCGGCCACAUUGGGACUGAGAUACGGCCCAGACUCCUACGGGAGGCAGCAGUGGGGAAUAUUGCACAAUGGGCGGAAGCCUGAUGCAGCAACGCCGCGUGCGGGAUGACGGCCUUCGGGUUGUAAACCGCUUUCAGCAGGGGCGAAGCUUGUGGUGACGGUACCUGCAGAAGAAGCACCGGCUAACUACGUG
rnacentral:rRNA from 1 species